rnacentral:rRNA from 1 species
GACGAACGCUGGCGGCGUGCUUAACACAUGCAAGUCGAGCGGUAAGGCCCUUUCGGGGGUACACGAGCGGCGAACGGGUGAGUAACACGUGGGUGACCUGCCUUUAGCUCUGGGAUAAGCCUGGGAAACCGGGUCUAAUACCGGAUAUGACUCCGCGGCGCAUGUUGUGGGGUGGAAAGCCUUGUGCGGCUGGAGAUGGGCCCGCGGCCUAUCAGCUUGUUGGUGGGGUNAUGGCCUACCAAGGCGACGACGGGUAGCCGGCCUGAGAGGGCGACCGGCCACACUGGGACUGAGACACGGCCCAGACUCCUACGGGAGGCAGCAGUGGGGAAUCUUGCGCAAUGGGCGAAAGCCUGACGCAGCGACGCCGCGUGAGGGAUGACGGCCUC